rnacentral:tRNA from 1 species
GAGCCAUUAGCUCAGCUGGUAGAGCAUCUGACUUUUAAUCAGAAGGUCAGAGGUUCGAAUCCUCUAUGGCUCA